rnacentral:rRNA from 1 species
CCUACGGGGGGCUGCAGUGAGGAAUAUUGCGCAAUGGCCGAAAGGCUGACGCAGCGACGCCGCGUGAGGGAUGAAGUCCGUUAGGAUGUAAACCUCUUUUGCAGGGGAUGAAUGUGGCGCUUUAGCGCCAUUGACAGUACCCUGUGAAUAAGGAUCGGCUAACUACGUGCCAGCAGCCGCGGUAAUACGUAGGAUCCGAGCGUUGUCCGGAUUUACUGGGUGUAAAGGGCGUGUAGGUGGACCUUUAAGUUGAUGGUGAAAUCCUGCGGCUUAACCGCAGAAUUGCUUUCAAAACUGGAGGUCUUGAGUGCGGCAGAGGGAGAUGGAAUUCAUGGUGUAGCGGUGAAAUGUGUAGAUAUCAUGAAGAACACCGGUAGCGAAGGCGGUCUCCUGGUCCGCAACUGACACUGAGGCGCGAAAGCGUGGGGAGCAAACAGGAUUAGAUACCCGAGUAGUCA